AUUUGCGUCAUUUUGCCGAUUUUUUCAAUUUUCUGUCUGGAAGAAUAUACAAACACGAACGAUUAGGCCAUAGUUAAAUAUUAAAUGGUCAAAACUUUAGAGGCAAUCAUUUUAACGAAAUAUGCAUGUAUACGUAUUAUUCACGAGCAGCGGAAAUCAAUACUAUAAAAAUGAAAAUUCUAUUGCGCAUGACUACCGUUCCAAGAGGGUUGCACCGAAGUAAAUCGAAUUCGAAAGUAACCGAAUGAUAUGCCCUUGCUGGGGUUACCAUUUCUUCCGUACAGAUGUUUGUAACGUGCAUCCUUAGAACACAAGGAAUCGGAUUCGAUUCAAUACAUCGUUUUGGUUGGUUGGUUGGUUAAAUCCCUAGUAUACAAAAAUUAUACGAAAUAAAUUCACUUUUGAAGUAAA